rnacentral:rRNA from 1 species
UACUCAGUUCGGAUUGAAGGCUGAAAUUCGCCUUCAUGAAGCUGGAAUUGCUAGUAAUGGCAGGUCAGCAUACUGCCGUGAAUACGUUCCCGGGCCUUGUACACACCGCCCGUCAAGCCAUGAAAGCCGGGGGGUACCUGAAGUACGUAACCGCAAGGAUCGUCCUAGGGUAAAACUGGUAAUUGGGGCUAAGUCGUAACAAGGUAGC